AUACUUACCUGGCAGGGGAGAUACCAUGAUCAGGAAGGUGGUUUUCCCAGGGCGAGGCUUAUCCAUUGCACUCCGGAUGUGCUGACCCCUGCGAUUUCCCCAAAUGCCUUAUCUUAGUUUGAUUUGGAGUAUAAAAAGUGGGGGGGGAAGGGGAUGGACUUUGGCUUUCU